AGAGAAGCGAAGAUUUUUCGUU
rnacentral:miRNA from 1 species